rnacentral:rRNA from 1 species
GACGAACGCUGGCGGCGUGCUUAACACAUGCAAGUCGAACGCUGAAGCCCUUUCGGGGGUGGAUGAGUGGCGAACGGGUGAGUAACAAGUGGGUAAUCUGCCCUGCACUCUGGGAUAAGCCUUGGAAACGGGGUCUAAUACCGGAUAGGACACAUCGCCGCAUGGUGUGUGUGUGGAAAGUUCCGGCGGUGCAGGUUGAGCCCGCGGCCUAUCAGCUUGUGGGUGGGGUGAUGGCCUACCAAGGCGACGACGGGUAGCCGGCCGGAGAGGGUGACCGGCCACACUGGGACUGAGACACGGCCCAGACUCCUACGGGAGGCAGCAGUGGGGAAUCUUGCGCAAUGGGCGAAAGCCUGACGCAGCAACGCCGCGUGGGGGAUGACGGCCUUCGGGUUGUAAACCUCUUUCGACCGGGACGAAGGGUGACUGACGGUACCGGUAGAAGAAGCACCGGCUAACUACGUGCCAGCCGCCGCCGUAA